UGGGGAAUAUUGGACAAUGGGCGAAAGCCUGAUCCAGCCAUGCCGUGUGUGUGAAGAAGGUCUUCGGAUUGUAAAGCACUUUAAGUGGGGAGGAAGGGCAGUAAGCGAAUACCUUGCUGUUUUGACGUUACCGACAGAAUAAGCACCGGCUAACUCUGUGCCAGCAGCCGCGGUAAUACAGAGGGUGCAAGCGUUAAUCGGAAUUACUGGGAGUAAAGCGCGCGUAGGUGGUUCGUUAAGUUGAAUGUGAAAUCCCCGGGCUCAACCUGGGAACUGCAUCCAUAACUGGCGAGCUAUAGUAGGUCAGAGGGUGGUGGACUUUCCUGUGUAGCGGUGAAAUGCGUAGAUAUAGGAAGGAACACCAGUGGCGAAGGCUACCACCUGGGCUCAUACUGUCACUGAGGUGCGAAAGCGUGGGGAGCACACAGG
rnacentral:rRNA from 1 species